rnacentral:lncRNA from 1 species
GGCUGGCACCAGAGAUCGAAAUUCCUAGCCCGGCUGCAGGUGUUUGCUGCCUUAUUAACUGUUAAUCGGCGCGGCUAGGGAUGGAGACUUAAUUGGCCCCCAGAGUGGGACACAAGUGAGCCAGCCCAGCGCUGCCAGGCUCUCAGCCGGUCCCUGGAAGCCUUACCUGUGGAGCACAGGUGGCUACCGGGAAAGGAGUUGGCCCAUGGCCAUCCGCCAGCAGACAGCAUUCCUGCAUGCAGCGGUCAGAGUGACAACUGCAGGGUACUGCCCCCACGGAAUCCUACCUCCUCCAGGAAGCCAAUCAAGCAAUCAAAAUCCAGCUCCUACACUCCCUCUCCAUCACCAACAACUUUUGUCUACCCAGGAUAGGAGCCAACCUCAUUUAUUUUCAUUAUCGGAACCUAAUUGAGGACUACAGGACCAACACAGAGUGGAACUGGUCCUCCUUUAACGCCUCCUCUGCCUCUCCUCUGUGCCUAGCAGCCAAGGCUGUUAAGGUUAUAGAGGCACUGGGAGAAAGAAGAGCAAGGAGAAGGAGCUUCUCCCAGAGCAGGAAGGUGAAGUUAGACCCAGGAAGGACUGCCCAGCUUUUGAAGAGGCUGUCUGGAACAAUUAGAGUUCAAAUAAGAACAAGAACUUCCAGGAGGAGGUCUGCUGCUCCAUCCCAGCCAUGCUCGAGGAGUCCUCCUCAGCCUCUGCUUUCAUAGCCCCAAUGACAGGGAACUCACCACCUGCAAGGCACUGCUACACAGCUGCAGCAGUGAUGGGGUUCUCUCUGCUGAGCUGACCUCUGCCUCCCCCUACCCCAAGUCACAGCAUAGGAGUCCCAAUUGUCCACAGUGAGGACACUGAGGCCCAGAAAGGGCAAUGGAGUGGCCCUGGGGUCCCCCAGUCCUCUCUGGCAAAGGCUCAGAUAUGUGGCUCUCCAAGCACAGUCUGUGCCUUCAGACUCCCACUGGACUCUGCUCCACCCCAGACAUCUCAGUCCUGGAGGGGACUUUCUUGGUCACUACCUUCUUAGCUCUGGUCUUUAAACUUCCCAACCUCAGCUGCCACUGCUGCAGCCACCUCAGGCUCCAGUGCCUCUGAGACAAGAAAACAAGGUUUCUGGACACAGUUGGCCCCUGAAAGAGACAAGAGUGUAAGGGUGUGAACAUGUGUGUGGUGGUGGUGAUGGGGUGCAGUGGGGGGCGGGGUGGCCAUGCUUCACCAACCUGGUCUCCGGCCUCCAGGAAUGAUAAACAGGCAAACCCAUAGUCCUCGUCCUGUGCCUCAAAUCCAGUCUGCCCUGACAUCUAGAAGAUCUUCUCGGUCUUUACUUGUCAUGUCUUGAGCUGAUAAGGAAGCAGAUCUGCUUUGGCUGGGUCCUGAGAGGAGCUGGUCUCCAUGGAGGGAGGGAGGGAGCUACCACUGAGCGCCUACUGUGUGCCAGAAACAGCAAUAAGUGUAUGCAAAAGUGGCAUCUCAUUGAACCCUCACAUAAUCUGACGAGUUAGAGAUUAGUAUCCCCAUUUACAGAGAAAGAAACUGAGCCAUA